rnacentral:lncRNA from 1 species
UCAUUUUUUCUGUCUCAUCUCUCUCGUAUUCUCUCUCUCUCACUCUCUCUACAACCCAGAAACCACCUAACCCUUCCUUCCACCCAAUCCAAAACCAAGCCAAACAUCCCUACUCACUCUCUCUCAUUUCAUUUCGCCUCUCAUCUGCCUUCACUCAGUCUCAGACUCUCCCUCUCUUUCUCGGAUUUGAAGCUCAGCAGCCACCCACCGUCUAGCAAUCUGACUCCGACGAACUAUCUCCACUCCGGCCACCACCACACCUCAUGGCUUCAUCCCCACCUCCGGUUCUCUCCAGUGAUUCUCUGUGUGUGUGGGAUUUCGAAUUGAGGUUAGGUUUUUGAAUUGGGGCUUAGGGUUUCGAAUUGGGGGCUCGGGUCAGGAGGAGGUCCCUCUCUUCACUUUGCUUCUUUCUCGACCAUAAAUCUUUCACUGAUUCACUAUCACUAUGUCUCUGAUUUCAAUUUGGAUUAAUGCAGGUUCGGAUGAUUUCAAUAUUAAUCUAAGACGAUUUGGAUUCUGAUGAUGUUCGGUUUCGGGAAAUUCCGAAAUACCGAAAAUAUUUCGGGAAUCCCGAAAUUUCGGUUCGGGAUCGGUCAUGAGAUUUACGUCCCGAAAAUUUUCGGUUCGGGAUUUGAUAUGCCAUUUUUGGUUCGGUAUCCCAUACCGAACCAGCCCUAACUAGAC